GGAGGAGGAGGAGGAGGAGGAGGAGGAAGCAACACCAGAGUUGAAGGCAAAGUCUCUUUAGUGAAUAUGGAGAAUUGAGAGCUGGUGGGAAGUCGCUACAGCAGUGGUUCUCAACCUUCCUAACGCUGCAACUCUUUAAUUCAGCUCCUCAUGUUGUGGUGACCCCAACCAUAAAAUUAUUUUUGUUGCUAUUUCACAACUGUAGUUUUGCUACUGUUGGCCAUUAUAAUGUGAAUGUCUGGUAUACCGGACAUCUGAUUGUGACUCCUAAAGGAGUCAAGACCCACAGGUUGAGAAUCACUGUAUUAGCGCUUUCUAAGUGGAUCUCAAGGAAACAGAUCCACAGGCAGAAGCUAAAGACAGAAAACUGGGGGAGACUCCAGGGGAAAAAACCAACCUCUUCGUUAGUCAAGGUUCUCCAGAGAAACAGAGCCACAGGACAGACAGAUGGACAGACAACCUGUAUGAGGAGAAAUGCAUUAUGGGAAAUGACUCACAGGUUUAUGACAGCUCAGCAGUCCCAUGCUUAUGGCAUCUGCAAGCUGGAGAGCUAUCAGUCUGGAAGCUAAAAAACCCAUAAUUUUCAUAGGUUGAUUCCCAAUAUGGAGUCGACAGCUUAAUAAUGGGUAUAAGAGGAUGCUAUGGUCUUAAUCUUGGACACCAAAGCCUCAAUAACAAGGGGCUUCAAUGCCCAGGACCAAAAAAAAAAUGGAUGACCAGUUCAAGGGUAGAAGAUUCUUCCUUCUCUUGUUUGUCCCACCCCAACCCUGAGCAGAUUGGAUAUUGACCAACAUACUGAUCAAAGCAGGUGCUCUUUGCUCAAAUGGCUCAAACCCUUUUCUCUUCUAGAAAUUGCCUCAUGAAACAUAGACAGAAAGAAUGCUUCACCAGCGAUUUGGAUGCCCCUGAGUCUGUUCAAGUGGAUGCAGAGAAUUAACCAUCACAACCCUAUUAAAUCAAGUUUGUGUAGGGAGUGGGUUUAAGGAAUAAAGGAAGAGGGUGCAACAGGGAGUAAGUGUGGGUCACAGAGAAACUUGGACAUUUCUAGCUGACAGUGGAGAACUUCUGUUCUGAGCAGACCUGUGAGUGAGCAUACACAUAAAGCAUAAGCCAGAGGCAGCAUAUUACCCAAUCUAGAGGCGGGCGCCAUAUUACCUAGUCUGGAAAGGCAAUAGAUAUCGAAUAAGGAAAGGCAGAAAUCGAGAUACAUUAGAUGAGAGAGAGAGAGAGAGAGAUUUGAGAAUGAGCUGGGUUUAGUCAACAAAUAAUUACAAGAAGCAAGAAGAAAAGCACAGAUUCAAGAUCUUGGAUAAGACAUGGCUGGUGAUAUCAUGAAAAAGAAUAAAGAAGUCACUUGGAGGAUUUGGUUGGGGACAGGGAGUUGGUGCCGAGCCUGGUUUUGUCACAUGGAUACACACUCUGUGCUUGGUGCCAAAAAGUUCCUCUCUAAAUCCAGCAGAUUGUGUUGUUGACUCUGCGGGCCUGAAUGCAUCAAUUUGUCUUACAUGUCAUGUUUCUGGGACAGUGCCCCACUUUAGCGCUGGCGACCAUGCAGAUGCUCCCGUAAAUCCCUUCCAUGGUUCAGUAAACACAGACUAUGAAACGACAUUCUACCCCACUGAUGCCAACACAAAGCACCUCGGGGGGGGGGGGGAGCGGGGGGGAAGAAACGCCAUUUUGCAGAUUAUUUCACAGCCCAGCAGUUGCAAUCUCAUGCUCGGAAUCAGGGGACUGCUCCAUUCGUGACAGAACACCACACGACCAUCCAAUGCUCAUUCCACUCGUUAGACGGAGGGUGAGUCAGAGCCAAGGAAGGUGGUUGGCCUUUAUUGUUUCAAGUUUAAAUCUAUUUCAUUCUAAUUCCAUGUGAUACAUCAGACCUUAAAAGAAUUUUGUUGUGUUCCUAUUUUUUUUUUUGCCAGACACUGAAAACCAAAGAUGACUUAAGUCAAAAAGUCUUCCUUCACAGAGCUCAAAGCCUGCAAAGUGAGACAAUCACCUUAUACACAUGACUAGAUUAUCACACCUGAUAGCUCUGAUCAUAGCUUGGUGGUAGAGAACUUACCACACUGGUAUGGUCCCCAGCACUGCCAGGAAAAAAAAAAUUACAUAAUAGAAACAUUAUAAAAAUGCUCUAAAAUCCCAGACUUGGUAUGGGGGGGAGUACUUCCUGAAGUACUCAAAAAAAAAAAAAUUACAGGACCAGGCAUAGUGAUGUAUGCCUUUAAUCCCAGCAAUGAGGAGGUAGAUGAAGAUGGAUCUCUGUGAAUUCAAGGCCAGCCUGGUCUACAUAGUAAGUUCCAGGAUAGCCAGAGCUACACAGAGAGGCUCUGGUUCAAAAAGAAACAAAAAAACAAAAACAAAAACAAAAGAAAACAAAAGAAUGUUACAGACUAGAGUGAUCUUUGAGAACAGGGAAUGAUCUCCCACUCUAAGGCUAGGCUCUGACCAGAGUAUUUCAUGCAGAUCCUCUUACAAAAUCCAAACUCUUUUUUAGACAACGCUUCACUAUGUACCCCAGGCUGGCCUUGAACUUGCAAUCCUCUGGCCUUAACCUUCUUCAUAUUUACAAUUUAUGGAUUCCUUUGUUCACUUAUUUACUUUGUGUAUGCUUAUGUGGGGAAGUGUGGCAGCACACACUAUGGCGUGUCUCAGGACAGUUCGCAGGAGUCAGCCCUCUCCUUCUAGCUUGUGGGGUUCGGAGAUUGAACUAGGGUGAUCAGUCUUGACAGUAAACACCUUUAGCUUCUGAACCAUCUUGCUGGUUCUGGCUUGCUGUUUGGAUGAGGAAACUAAACCUCCGGUGAGCCCCUAAUUCAGAUCUUCCGAGCUCCGGACCCCAUGUGCUUUAAUCCGAGUAAUCAUAAUACAGUGGAAAGUAGACAGCCACCAGCUACGGCUGAGGGAACAGAAACAAACACCAGACCCUUGCCUGGCUAGAGCAGAACAAGCAAGGAUUGCUGGUCAAUUCUGUUUGGAAUGACUAGCAAAGACCAGGUUGGAAUGGCUAUUUAAGUACAGCAAGCAGUUUGACUUAAAAUCCCAGAGGCCAGUGAUUUUAAAACCAUAUUAGGAAGACAAUGACCACCCAAGCAAUGCUGCAUUUAUUUAACUUUUAUAGACUGCAAGGAUUUGGGUAGGAUUUAUUUUAUUAAUAAAAAUGUCCCACUUCCAAAAAUAAUAUCUAAAGACUAUCCACAGUUACAGAGGAGAGGUUGUUAUAGAUUCAUAAGAAUGAAAAGUGAAGGCGGGGCUCUAACUCAGUGGUGGAGCAUUUGCCUCCCAAGAGAGAAAGACUAGAACAGGGGACAGGUUGGCAGCAUCACACAGGUACCUUAGAUACACGUGGCCACUGUGUAAAAGACAAGCCAGAUCCAUGGGUGUGGAGCAUCAGAGAGUUGGUCACUUUGUCCAUUUCUGUCUUCCCGUUACUAAUAACAGUUUCUGCACAGUGUCACUUCUUCCUGGCCACUUUGGAGAUGCCAUCUUUGUCCACAUCUUUGUCUCUUCGGUAUGAACAGAAUUCCUGUUCACAACUUCUUUAUUACUCCUUGGAUGGGAGGCCUUGACUUUUUCUUUCUAGGACUUGUCUUAAGGCACAGGCAGAGUGAUAUAGACUGACUUGCGAUAUACACCUCACCUUUGGAGUUGUAGCCCAGUUGUAGAGCACUUGUUUAGUGUCUUAGUUAGGGUUUUACUGCUGUGAACAGACACCACAUUUACUACUCUUAUAAGACCAACAUUUAAUUGGGGCUGGUUUACAGGUUCAGAGGUUCAGACCAUUAUCAUCAAGGCUGGAACAUGGCAGCAUCCAGGCAGGCAUAGUACAGGAUAAGCUGAGAGUUCUACAUCUUCAUCUGAAGGCUACUAGCAGAAUACUGGCUUCCAGGCAGCUAGAAUGAGAGUCUUAAAGCCCACACCCACAGUGGCACUCCUACUUCAACAAGGCCACACCUCCCAAUAGUGCCACUCCCAGGGCCAAGCAUAUACAAGCCAUCACACUUAGCGAGUGUGAGGUUCUUAGUUCAAUCUCUAAUACCACCACCAUCAAAAAAAAAAGUUUAGUAAUUUUUCAAACCAGCCAUGGUAGUACAUGCCUGUAAUAGUCAAGGUACAAACAGAAGGAUGAAUUCAAGGCUACCGUUAGCUAGUGAGUUUGAAAUGAGCUUGGCUUACUUGAGACCCUGUCUCGAAAAUAAAAAGUAAAUACCUUAGAGCCAGACUUGGUGACACAUGCCUAUAAUCCUAGCAUUCAACAUGCAGAAGCAAUGGGAUCAUAAACCUGAGCUAUAUAUGAAAAACCUGCAUUUUUCUUAAAGUCAAAAGACAACACCUUGGGAAUUAGACCAGGGCCGGGGGGGGAGGGGGAGGGGGAGGCGAAUUUUUUUUUUUGAUGACCUCGUGGUGCAAAUGACCUAUUUAUCUCUUUGUUCAGCUUACCCUGAGUCUGACCAAUGCACAGCCUAUAACUGAAACAUGAACACAAUAAUAAGGAAAGAAAAUUUAGGGGACAACUGGUAGUAUAGACAACGAGCAUAUGGUGUCCUGGGGGUCCCAUCCAUAGUGUAGAGAGAGACAGAGAAUGAGCAAGAGAAUGAACAAUAAUUAUGAACUCAGCGGCUUUUUCCAGAACAAUGCUGACAUAAUAAUAAGGCAGAAGCACGGUGUAUUGAGAGUUAGACAAGUACGGUGGCACACAUUCUAGCAUUUGGGAGGCAUAACAGGUAUCUUAGUCAGCGUUUUAUUGCUACGAUGAAGCACCAUGGCCAGAAAGCAAGUUGGGAGGAAAGGGUUUAUUCAGCUUACACUUCCACAUCCCAAUCCAUCAUUUGGAGGAAGUCAGGACAGGAACUCAAGCAGGGCUGGAACCCAGAGGCAGGAUCUUAUGCAGAGGCCAUGGAGGAGUGCUGCUUACUGGCUUGCUUCCCCUGGCUUGCUCAGCCUGCCUUCUUAAAGAACCUAGGACCACCAACCCAGGGACUCCACCUGCUACAUUGAUCUGCUAAGAAAAUUCUCUAAAACUGGAUCUCAUGGAAGCAUUUCCCCAACUGCAUCUCCUUUCUCUGUGAAUCUAGCAUGUAUCAAGUUGACAAAACCAACUAAUAUAGCAAGAUUCUGGUCCAAAAAGUUUUUCUGCUUCUAACUCUAAAGGAAAGGACCAAAUACAGUUGGGGAAUCCUGCCAUUUCAAAAAGUAAAGAAGAAAUCACUGGAGAAGAAAGAGAUUCAACGCAUCCAAAGUCCUAUAUAUGAAGGAAAACCAACUGACUCAAAGGAACUAGAAACCAAUCCAAGGGACUGUUUCCUUCCUACCUAGGCCCUGGUUGGGCACCUCUUCAGCCAUAACACCAGAGGGAAGAGGCACAAAGUAAGUUUGCUGCUGUUUUUGUAUUUGCGGAGUUAGCCCUGCUGGAGAAUCUCACCUAGGGACAUUCACAACUGUGUAAGCCCUCUACCUCACCUAUAUUCACAGCCCUCAACAGCAGCUUUGAUUCCAAGCCCCAAACCUCCAACGUUAAGAUAACUCGCCCCCAAAAUGCCCCAACAUUUAAAAGUAACUUUUAGAAACCCACGUUUUUAUAAACCCUCCCCAGUAAACUUCUGGAAGACAUUCCCACAGUGGUAUUUAGUGAUCACUCUCUACACACUGGCAACAUAAAAUUCAAGAAGACUCAGAGGAAAGGGGGAGGUGAAUAAUUUCCCAGACGUCAAACAGACUCCAUCAGUCACAUCCCCGAGUUACAGCUCUCCUAUCCAACCUGUCCAGCCCCAAGAGAGGGCUCCAGGUGCCGACCUUUCUCUAAUUGGUUUCUAUCCCCACACCUUCCUCUUAAGUCAUCAUUUUCUGGGAUAAUUGGUACCUAUAAAUUCUUGCUAGAGUCAGUUUCCUUUCAUUGAAAAGGUGCUUAUAUUGCAAACCUAAGGAGCAAUUAUAGAUUCUAUGUUUAACUAGCUUCAUUCUUGCCAUUUAAUACCUAGUGUUAUUUGCUGCAUCCUGUCAUGAUAUUUAUCGAGAAUAGGCAGAAAUGCACCCAAGUAAAUAAUGUUAGUAUUAGAGCCCCACUUUCAGAAAGAAAAAAAAAGUCAUAGGAAUAGAUCAUCAUUUACCUCUUCUGAUUUGGCAAUGUAUGUUGCAUUAUUAAUCUAUUAGUGGAAAUGCAUUCCUCCAUGUCUUUGUUAAGUGAACAUCUUGCCAGAAUGUUUGGUAGCUCUUUUGUUAUUUGAUGAGUGACCAUAUCUCUUCCUACAGCAGCACUUCUUAUCUGGGUAUACCAUGAUCGUGGGGACAGGAGCUGGCAGAAUCAGGCCCUUCCUUCUAAAAUGCAUGGUUGUUUUCAGUGUAAAGAAGAGUUCAACAUGUUUUUCCUUAUAUUACACAGUAAAUUCCUUCUGCUAUCCCAUAAGAUGAAUUCAUAGUCCCGAUUCUAGAAGUAGCUGUUUCAUAUAUUCGAGUGGAACCAUAAUUUUUCGAAUAUUGAAAAGUCAACUUCUUGGUCUCGGUAUUGUGGCACAAGCCUUUAAUCUCAGUGUUCAAGAGGCAGAGGCUCGUGGGCCUCUGUGAGUUUGAGGGUAGCCUCAACUACAUAACAAGUUUUAGGAUAGCCAAGGCUAUAUAGUGAGACUCUGUAUCAAAAAUUUAAAAAAAGAAAGAAUGUAAGAAAAUCAAUUUCUUUCUUCAUUGGCUCUUAGCAACCUUAGCACUAACUCAGUGUUUACCCCAGCAAAUGCACAGAAUGUUCUGGCAUAUUUGCUCCAUAAUUCAGCUCAUAAUUAAGUUCAUAUAAACCCAUAUAACCUUUGCCUUAGUCAUCUUACUUAUUUUUAACUUGGUUUUCACCUUUCUCUGAAAAUAUCACGAAUUUUCUCAAAAUUCAAUCAAGUAACUAGAUGUAUGGAUUGAGAGCUACAUGAAAACUUCAUCUGAUAUUCAGUUUCUACGGAUUCCUCCCUAAGCCAUUUACCAACAAAGACUGGUUCAGCUCUAAGGGCUGGGCACUUACUCUUGAGAAUUUGACUUUAAACAGAUUAAACCAAAACAAUGUGUGAUAAAAUGUGCUUUGCAAUAUGAUAAACAAAAGAAGCACAAUUAACGUCUUAUAGGACUGGCCAACCUGUGCUAAAGGCUAACCAAGAGCUCGGUGGACAAGGAGAAGCCCUGAACCCUGUGUUAAGGCUGCUGUAAGUCUGAAGCUAGUGAGUCCCAUAGUAAUCACUUCAGCGAUAUCACAGUCCCCAAAGGGAAAAGAUCAUGGUGACAUUUAGAUGCAACUGUGCCAUGGUUCCAAGACCAUUUUCUCACUGGAGAUUGGUUCUGAGAUGGCAGAAUAUCAUAGUAAAAUUUUCUAUCCAUCAUCCAUGAAAACAUUCAAGACCCUAUCCUUACUUUUCAAAACAAUUUUAUGAUUACAGUCACAGAAUUGGUGUGUGUGUGUGUGUGUGUGUGUGUGUGUGUGUGUAUGUUAUUAUCAAUAUUUCCAAUAUAUAUGCUGUUCUUAGGGCUGGAGAGGUGGCUUAGCAGUUAAGAGCACUAGCUGCUCUUCCAGAGGACCCAGGUUCAAUUCCUUGCACCCACAUGGCAGCUAACAACCAUUUGUAACUCCAGUCCCAAGAGAUGCAACACUCUCCUGGACUCUUCAGCUACCAGGUAUGUGUGUGGUACACAUACACACAUGCAGUGCUCCUCACCUACGAGGUGUACAGAAUCAGUUCUAAUAGGCCAUUUUGAUUUACUGUUUCAGCGCAAUGUAUUUAAGUUUUGGAAUGAAAAAAAAAAAAACCUUAUUAAAGGCAACAUGUUUCAAGCAUAAGGCAUUGUCCUUGGCAUAGUCUUCAACAUAUUCACUUAUUUUAUUUUUUUUAAACGUGUGUGUGUGUGUGUGUGUGUGUGUGUGUGUGUGUGUGUGUGUGUAGGUUUAUGGAUGUGAAUGCAGAGGCAAGAGAAGUCAGAGUUAGAGCUAGAGUCAUAGGCAUAUGAAAAAAACGGACUAGGAUAUUGUCUAGUGUCUAGUUACAGUGCAAGACCCAAAGUUCCAACUACAGACACACACACACACACACACACACACACACACACGAUAACUUUGUAAAAUUUACUUGCAAUCAAACUACAAAGAAUUCUCAUUACUUGUCUUCAUGCUUACAUGUAUUAAAGCCUAAAAUCUGUGGGGCGAAUUUUUGCAAUGUUUAUGGUAUUUAUUACAGAACAUCUUUUUUUUUUUUUCUUUUGGUUUUUCAAGACAGGGUUUCUCUGUAUAGCCCUGGCUGUCCUGGAGCUCACUUUGUAGACCAGGCUGGCCUCGAACUCAGAAAUCCGCCUGCCUCUGCCUCCUGAGUGCUGGGAUUAAAGGCGUGCGCCACCACGCCCAGCCAGAACAUCUUUUGAGGUAAGACUAUCUCCUAAUCUUUCACAGGCUGCUACUCGCUCAUUUUGCAAAGUGAUACUCUAAGGACCCCCUGCCAAUAUUGGGAACGCUCUCUUGUGGAUUAGAGUACUGGGCUCUGGUAUCUAACCCAUGGCAGGAUAAGCAAGUACGCAAGCACUAGCUUCACCCCCAACACAAUGUCGAGAGCUCUCAGCUAAACCAGACAGGAGACCUCGAAAUGCUUUGGAAGCAGUGCUGAGCCCGGCAUCCCCAUGUUAGUCCGAAGAAGACGAGCUCCACACAGAAGUCCAUCUCCCAAUCCCCAAGAUCCAUGUGUGUUACCUUGUGUGGCAAAAGGGACUUUGUAGGUGUGACAGGAACGAUCAUCCUAGACUGUCCCAGUGGCCUAGCAUCACCUGGGUCCUCAUAUGAGCGAAAGAAAAGAAAGAAGUAAAAACAAACAAACAAACAGUGCCUGGCCCAUAGCCCUCUCUAGUGAACGGGACUUUGGCUCUCCAGCCUGCACACAAAUACAUUUGUGUUCUUUUAAGUGACUAAUUGUUGAAAUUUUUUUCUCUCUCUUUCUUUUGUUGUUGUUGUUGGGUUUUGUUUUGGGUUUUUUUUUUUUUUGGUUGGUUUUUUAUUUUUUGUUUGGUUUUUUUCUGUUUGUUUGUUUUAAGAGGAGGGGUUCUCUCUCCAUAGUCCUGGAUGUUCUAGAAUGUCCUAUUCAGACCAGGCUAGCUGGAGAACUCCCAGAGAAUCAUGUACCUCUGCCUUCUGGGUGUUAGAAUUAAAGUCAUCCACCACCAAGCUCAGCUGUUGAAAUUUCUUAGAGAGGUAAUAGAAGAUAUAAGGAGAGAGAGAGUGAGAGAGAUAGAGAGAGAGAGAGAGAGAGGCUGAUAGUUAAAGGUAAAAAGUGAUUUUAAAAGCUUAAAGCUUUCCAAAGGAAAAAAUGCAGAACUGCCUGUCUGCCUCUGCUUUGUCCUAAGUUUAUGUCUGCCGCUGCUACCACCAUCUUCUGCCAUCGAUCCACCUUCUUCUACUUUACGAUGUUGACUGAAUAGCAGUGAUUUUCUCAGGGAGCUUCUGGCCUACAGGACAGCGUUGGAACUAUUGAGCAUCCAGCUUCAUGCACUGAGCAGUUACCCAGUUUUCUGGGUCUCCAGAAUGCAGACAGCCAUUGUUGAGCUACCCCAGCAACUGUUGUUUAAGCCGUCCAAAGACUACCCUUUAAAAUGCCAUAUAUAAAUUCUGUCUAAUCUGUCCCCCUGGCGAAUCCUACCUAAUAUAAAUAGCACUCACAAGAACUCACCCACAUCUCAGGGUGCACUGAGAUCCGCUUCAAGCCAAGUGUCUGCCAUCUGGGAUCGAAUGUGAAAAGAUUACCCAGAACCCGAAAGAGAACUCAAGUCAAAUAACUUCACACCAGGCAUUGGAUUCGGCUCCAGUACAUCUCUCUUGGCUCGCCUUUCCACAUGUGCUGCUAGUGACUCACAUUACCCACUACACCAUAUCAACACCUUUACACGCCUAAGGUGAAACUCAUGUUUUUAAAAUAAUUUUUUAAAUGUUUAGCUCUGGAACUCUACACUGGUUUCUUUGUAGUGUAUACUUGCUUAAACAGAGGAUGUGGUGCUAUCUCUAAAAACGGUGGAUCACGUCAGUCAACACAGAACCAGAUCUGCAACAGGGUUUGAUUUUUGUGGGGGUUUGUGUGUGUGUCUAGAUUAUAAAGUAAGAGCAAAGGGAGAUAUUUAAUUUCUUUUCUGAAACAGAAGAAACAAACCCCGCGGGAUUUACUAGGGCAAUUUGGGGGCGGAGGGGGUGUGUGUGGCGGGGCUUCCAGACUUGUUCUUUAUGUACUUCAUAGAGGAGAGAAGACACCAUUUUGACCAAACGUUAAAAAGAAAUCUGUACUCAAUGCACCAUCAUGAAAUGCUUGUGCUUUAAAUCCCACUAAACUUCUGCUCCUACCACUUUAAAUGUGGUUUUUCCAGCAGGCGGCUGAAUACAGAGGUGGUGUGAUGACUUUACACAGCACCACACAACCUGGCUGCAAUCUAGCUCUGCUCACCGACUUUAAGCAAAUUCUUUAACUUCCCUGAUUCCUAAUCCUUAAAUGAAGAUGACACAGAACCUUCACUGCUCCACUCAGCAUAGCCACACAUUAUGUAUGUGGUCAUUAGCUGUGCAUUUUUCCUUCCUAAAUGAAUUCUCACAAUAUUCUGUUUCAGCUAUCUACCUCCGCCCUUUGAACAUUGCAGAACUGUGUUAUAAGGUUUCUAGAGACACAAACACAAACACUGGGCUCUACCUGCUAUUCUCCCUUUACCCAGAACCUGACCUCAUCCACGGCUCUGACCUCCCUGACAGCAGAAUUCACACCACUUCCUGAUCCACACAACACCUCCACCUUCUCCCACCGUGCUAAGCCACAUGCUCCCAUCCUCGGGAGCCUCUACGAAGUAAUGCUGAAUGAGAGCUCCCUAUAAGGCAGUGGUUCUCAAACUGUGGGUUGUCUAAGACCAUCCUGCAUAUCCAAUAUUUACAUUAUCAGAUUCAUAACAGUAGCAAAAUUACAGUUAUGAAGUGGUAAGGAAAAUAAUUUUAUGGUUGGGGAACUACGUGAGGAACUGUGUCAAAGGGCCACGGCAUCAGGAUGAUUGACAGCCACUGCACUGUCCUCUGCACGCUGACUGUCCAUCACUCUCUAAUACCUACUUCACUUUGGCAUGUUGUUGGCCACGUGCAGAAAUCAUUGCAGGAACUGGAUAAUUCCAAAGCCCAACUCAGAUCUCAGUGUUAAUAGGGACUCAUGGAGAAUCCUGCCGCUGGUUUAGAAAUGGCACCCCAGGAGCCCUGCCCAUCCUGGUACAGAUCUUCAACCUAGUGCCAGCUGACAGAGGAUGGGCAAGGACCAGGACCAUGUACCUCCAGCACAAGGCACAGUGGUCGCUCAGGAAGAGAGGGAGCAUCAGUCUUCCCCAGGGAUGAGCCCCCAAAAUGAGUGUCCAGUACCAAGCGGUCAGCAUUAAAAACAUACACACAAGUAACGCUGAACAGAUUCAGCAGGUUGUGUUGACACUUUUAUUCAUUUGUAAAGCUGUAAGUGUGGGAGGGAAUAGGGGAAGGCAAGGGGAUGGUUGCAGGGAGGAGAGAGGGGGAAAUGACAUGAUUAUUAAUUGUAUUUUAAUUAAAAAUAAGCCAGUCGCUGUAGAAUGAAGGGAAAACGUUUGUUCUUCUCAGGUGGGAACAACAACCCAUUGUUUCUCAUAUAAAGAAGAGUGACCUUGGCGGGAACAGUCACAAACACAGCCUUUGUUAUGGCUCUUGUCUUUGUUGGAAGGUUUUUGAAAUAUGGCCCGACACUAAUGGCUCAGGCUGGCUUUGAACUUAUGGCAUCUUCCUGCCUCAGCCUCCAAAGUGUUGUGAAGAUUUUUAUCAGUACUCAGACUUGGAACAAAUAAAGAAGGAACUGGAGAAAUGGCUCAAGUGUCGAGAACACUUUAGUGCUCUUACAGAGGACUCAAGUUCAGUUCCCAGGACCCACAUAGUGAUACCCUGUCUGGAAAAAAUAUGAAAAAUUAAAAUAAAAUAAGGACCUCUUUGUCCUCGGAUCUUUCCUCUCUCUGGAUGAAUACAUUUCUUUUACAGUACUGGAGAUUGAACCCAGGGCGUUGAGCAUACUAGGCAAGCCACUCAGCCACACCCUUGGCACUCUCCUGUCUGUCAUCUAUAAUUUAAUGUCUAUUAAGAAGCAGUGCCAUUUGGUGGGUUUGUGGUGUCCCGUGUCUCAACCAAUAUGCUGCGUGGCACGCAUCUUUACCAAGCCACACUUUAGUACUACAGGACAGCCAUUCACAUGUGUCAAAAUAUUUAGCACCAACUACUAGUUAAAGUGUCAGUCCUCAUUUAAGAUAACCUCACGUCAAAACAGACAGAAGGCACACACUGGAGUGAUCAACUGGAACACUUGUCUUCCAGGCUGUUCCUAGAAUAUGUGUGUGCUCCCGAAGCAGACGCCUCAAAACCCAGCUUGAUCUUGGGUAGCGGGAGCCACCUGCUCUUUCCCAGUCCCCCGAGCCGACUCUUGGUUAUCCUCAUCACAUCCUUUUCUAUUCCUUAACCUUUCUGAAUGCCUUGUAUCUGAAACCCAGGGAUCCUGGAAUGAAAACCCAGUGCUUCUCAGCUAUUACCUAGGCACACGGGGCAAGGAAUUGAAGUAAAACUGGAAAGGGGCCGGCUUUAUCGAUUGCAUAGGCAAUGUUCUCCAAAGAGGAGGGCAGACCUUCCUGUCGCUUCAUGGACACGUAGUGCUCCGGAGAACUGAAAGUCUGAAAGCAAGAAGAAGCUGAAAGUCCACAGAGGAAGGAAGGAAGAUCGCCCUUUUGUGAGGAGGAAGAGAACUGAGGACUAAGAGGAGCCAAAGACAACCUGUAAAAGCAAGAAAUACCAAGAAAGAGGGAAACUCCCGUUCGCCUGAGUCAUCACCAAACAUACUGUGCUGCGUCAGCUUUAAAGCGAGUGCCGUGGAUUCUCCGAGAGAGGUCGCAGGGACAUUGGCUGCUGGAACUUUAGCUUGUCAUGAGCCCUCUGUGCCUGAGUUCGCACACCAACUUCAGGCAGAAUGCUAGAAGUGCCGGGGACUCCAAUUUCCAUCAGGGUAAAUCUGUAGUGCCAAAAAUGAGCUGGGAAAUACUAUGAAGCUGGGGUGGGGGGCAAACCAAAGAGGGGGAACCCUCAUCCUGCUUCCAUGCUCAUGGGGGAUAAAACUACUGUCUGCAUUCUACCUGAGCCUCCAGAAAAGCAGGCUAUCCCAGUGUGAGCCAGGCCCAGGCAGGCCUCCAUGAAGACUACGUAGAACUGCCUUUCAUAGAAAAGGGAAAAAAAAAAACUCAGAACAGAAAGGGUUCUUUAUUUGUUUCUAAUUUCUAAAGACAAACAACCUUUGGAGAAAAAAAAUUAAUCUUUGUCAGUGCUCCGACUGGGAACAAAUAAAGGUGCUAGAGAGAUGGCUCAGUGGUUAAGAGCACUUUACUGUUCUUACAAAGGACCCAAGUUCCGUUCCCAGCACCCACCUCAGGCUGCUCACAACUGCUUGUCCCUCCAGCUUUGGAGGAUCCCAUGCCCUCUCCUGGCCUCAUCAGGCACUGCACUCAUGCGCACACAUGAUUAAAAAUAAAAAUUUUAAAGACAAAGGAAAGAGUUGAAUGGAGCUGUUACACAAUACGGCAAAGUCCAGGGCAGUGGGCUCUGCGUAUGCUAUUUCUUUUUAAUGUAUAUGUGCGUGUGCCUGAGUGAGUUUAUGUAUACCACAUGCAUGCAUAUGACCAUCAAGGCCAGAGGGUAUCAGAUCCUCUGGAACUGGAGUUACUGGCAGCUGUAAGCCACCUGCUGUGGUGCCAGGAAUUGAUCCUGGUCUUCUGCAGAAGCAGUAAGAAUGCUCUCUCUAGCAUCUUCUGUGCUAGUUGAUUAGUUCUCAGAUGAUAGCACUUUGGAGACCGAGCAAGUAGAUCUCUCUUGCUAGUUCUAGGCCAGCCUGAUCUACAUAGUGAGCCCCAGGCCAUCUACAGCUUCAUCGUGAGACUCUAUCUCAGCAAAUGAAUUAAUAAAGCUUUUAAGUCUAAUUAGAAAGUACCUAUAAAAAAAGACAUGUAUAGACCAAGCACGGAGGCACACACCAAUAAUCGCAGUACCUCAGUGGUAGAGGCCGGAUGAUCAGGUAGAUCACUGUGGUGAUUUAAAUAUGUUCGGGCCAUGGGAACUGGCAAUAUUAGGAGGUAUGGCCUUCUUGGAAAUAGUCACUGUGUCACUGUGGGGGGAGGUUUUGAGGACUCUUCCUAAGGUCAAGCUCUUCCCAGUGUGGAAUGAGACCCUCCUUCUGGCUGUCUGCAGAAGAGAGCCUCCUUCUGGCUGCCUUCCAAUUAAGAUGUAGAAUUCUAUUUUCUUUCUUUCUUUCUUUCUUUUUUUUUUUGGGGGGGGGGAGUGGGUUUUUUUUGUUUUGUUUUGUUUUGUUUUGUUUUGUUUUUUUGGUUUUUCAAGACAGGAUUUCUCUGUGUAGUCCUGGCUGUCCUGGAGCUCACUCUGUAGACCAGGCUGGCCUCGAACUCAGAAAUCCGCCUGCCCUUGCCUCCCAAGUGCUGGGAUUACAGGCAUGCGCCACCACUGCCCAGCCAAGAUGUAGAAUUCUCAUCUCCUCCUGAACCAUGUCUGCCUACAGGCUGCCAUGCUUCCUGCCGUGAUAGUGGACUGAACCUCUGAAAUUGUAAGCCAGCCCCAAUUAAAUGUUUUCUUUUAUAGGAAUUGAUUUGGCCAUGGAGUCUCUUCCCAGCAAUGGAAACCCUAAGGCAAUCUCUGUCAAGCAUAGCAUGUCCUAGGCUCCAUGAGUCUCUGUCUCAAGAAAGUCAAAAAUCAGGCCAGCAAGAUGGCUCAACAGUGGCUGCACAGAAACUAAGACCACCUUCAAAGCUCUACAUCCAAAGGAGGCUUGUCUCGCCAACCCAGACACGAGGGCGCACUUUGUGUCCUUACUACCUAUUUGUCUCAGCAAAGGACUGAGGAGCCUGCAGUCGCUGCUGGAUGGCCUGAGGGAGAUGUUAUCCUUUUCCCAACUUAAAUUUUGAGCACUAAAGUACCUGAAAACAUCUACCAUCUACCUAUUAAAAAAAAAUAGAUGGAAUUGCAGCAGCACACUGGUGUUUUGUACAAUACACAUCCUUUUCAAAUGUUGUUUUUCUGAAUUUUUUCUUUUCAGUCCCAAACGGAAAAUGAAGCAAGCCUGCAUAACAAACACAAGGGCUGGAAUGUUAUUCUCUGUGUGAAAUUUUACAGCAACAAUUAUUUUUAGUAACAUCUGGGCCAAAUGUUCUCGCUGGACUUGGUUUAUUCUGAAAUUGGACACUAUGCAAUACCAGGAUGAAACACACAAACCCACAGUCCUAGGCUACAAAUACCUCUAGAGUUAGAAUUAAUAUGCUAUCCUACAUAUCAACUAAGUUUCGGUAAGGGCAAAAUUUGGAAUGUGGAACAAUUACGGUCUUUUCUGAGCAAAGUAAAACAUUUUGUGACUACAAAAAAAAGGAGAAAAAUCUACUUUUCAAGUCCACUUGCUCUCUGUCGGGGAUGGUUUAAUGUUUCCUUCAUUCACAGUUCUAUUAUGGAUGGUUUAAUGUCCCAUUUGUUAUAAAAAGCCAAUAAUAUCAAGUCCCAAAGGGAAAGGCACAAAGUACAGCGUCAAUGCUUCAGCUAAAUGGGGACAGAUGUGUGUGUCCAACUUCUACAGUCUAUUUGUCUCAUUAGCAGCACCUGAGUCCCAUAAUUACACUUCACACACACACAUACACAAUGUUGGGGGUAAAACCCAAGACAUCACAUGUAGGUCUACCCCUGCAUUUUCUUUUUUUGUUUGUUUGUUUGGUUGGUUGGUUGGUUGGUUUUGGAUUUUCGAGACAGGGUUUCUCUGUGUAGCCCAGGCUGUCCUGGAACUCAAUCUGUAGACCAAGCUGGCCUCAAACUCAGAAAUCCUCCUGCCUCUGCCUCCUGAGUGCUGGGAUUAAAGGCAUGCGCCACCACGCCCAGCACCCCUGCAUUUUCUGAUGCAGGAUCUUGCUAUGUAGCCAAGGCUGGACUUGAAAUCAAAAUUCUCCUACCUCUUGCGUGUCAUAGACCUAAUGCCAAGAGUAUACUUUUUGCUGUAUGUUUGUUUGCUAGUCUUUUUCAAGACACAGUUUCUCUGUGCAGUGCAGGCUGUCCUGGAACUUACUAUUUAAACCAGGCUGGCCUCAGAACUCAAAGAUCCACCUACCUCUGCCUCCCAAGUGCUGGGAUUAAAGGUGUGCACCACCAUGUCCAGCUCCAAGAGUACUUUUAAGUGUCUAAAACAAGACCCCAAUAACGUGAGUUCUGAAUGCAUGGCCUGAACGGACUUCAAAACCCAACUUAGUAAAAAUUAAAACACAAGCAGUGUGGUUCAAAUCAAGUUUUAUUUUCUAUUUUCUCUUAACAUGGUAAGGACUCCUGAGCUGGAAUCUCGGCUUACACUUCUCCAGCUGGACUCUCCCUGGUGCUGGCUCUGCAAACAACCAAAAUCCUGGUCCAAAUACUCUGGGAAAAGGAUAACAUUUGGCCCUUCUCUCCAGAGGCUUAGAGACACCAAGGGCAAGUGGGUAGCAAAGUAUUGGAACUCAAAGACACGGGUGAAAUGUAAAGCAGGGAAAUAUAAUAAAUACGAUAUUCCAUCUCUCUAGACCUACAGGAACAAGUAUCUGAUCAGCAUGAUAGAUUAUUUUGAGAAGUUCUCGAUCACUAUAUAAAUUAUAAAUUGGGUUUAAGCAGUUCCCCUGGUUGUUUUGUUAAAAUUGUUUUGCCAUCAACCCAGUAAUAAGUAGAGAAAGCCACGCCCACAAUCUUUCCGAGAAUGACCAUGCAUGCAGUGUAAGUUGAUUGAAUAGAGUGAAUGAAGAAGGGAUCUAAGUAAUGUCAACACACUCAGUACUGGGUCUUGAAAGGUGGAAUUUUCUUCCCAACAGAGGACAGUGGGUAUUUCUCUAAAUUAGUAUGCACAAAAAUGUUUUCCUACCCAGUCAGCUCAGUGCUCUCUCUCUCUCUCUUUAAAGAUUUACUUAUUUAUUUAUUUAUUUUAUGUAUGUAAGUACACUGUCACUGUCUUCAAGCACACCAGAAGAGGGCAUCAGAUCUCAUUACAGAUGGUUGUGAGCCACCAUGUGCUUCUGGUACCUGAACUCAGAACCUCUGGAAAAGCAGUCAGUGCUCUUAACCUCCUGAGCCAUCACUCCAGCCUGUAUCUACGUUCUCAAAAGGUUGGUGUGUCUUCUUCCCCAUACUCAAGACAAAGGACAAAAAUAGGCUAAAGACUUAUAUAACAAACAAGGUUCAAAAAACAAUAGACAGUUUUACAAGAAAGGUCUCCCCCUAAACAAUUUACACAGUUAAGUGUAUGGACUUUAAGAAACUGUUAGAAAAGACAGCAUUAAUCAUUUAAAGGAAGGAAGGAAGGAAGGAAGGAAGGAAGGAAGGAAGGAAGGAAGGAGGGAAGGAGGGAAGGAGGGAAGGAAGGGAGGGAGGGAGGAAGGGAGGGAAGGAAGGAAGGAAAGGAGGGAGGGAAGGAGGGAGGGAGGAAGGAAGGAAGGAACAAAGGGAGGAAGGAAGGAAAGAAGGAGAAAGGAAGGAAGGAGAAAGAAAAGGAGAGGGAAGGGGAGGGGAGGGGAGGGGAGGGGAGGGGAGGGGAGAGGAGAGGAGAAGAGAAGAGAAGAGAAGAGAAGAGAAGAGAAGAGAAGAGAAGAGAAGAGAAGAGAAGAGAAGAGAAGAGAAGAGAAAAGAAAAGAAAAGAAAAGAAAAGAAAAGAAAAGAAAAGCCAACUGUAAGUCAAACUGAUCCCAAAUGCUAAUCUCAGGUUUCAGGUUGAAUCUGGGGACAUCAGGGCACAGGGAACAGUAGCAUCAGGCUCUCACGUGGGAUGCUGCAGACAAUGGGCUGAUCCAUAACUUCAGUCUACUUUAGACCCUUGGAUGGAUGGGCUAAGAGCCCAGUGAGCUGUAAUAACCCUGAAAAGCUUUUGGCUCUGGCUGUGGACACAUUAGCAUGAACUUCAAUCUGUUUCUUUGUUAGUAACAAGAGAUAUUUGCUUGCACUUUCUGCCUAAAUGGAUCGGAUAAAGAACCUAAGACCUCCAACAAUGGAAUUCGCAACUGGUACAGCUGCUAGUCACAGCUUUGGGCCCCAAAUGAACUUUUUUUGUGGAGGAGAGGGUGACAUUUCCCCUUAGCUAUCCUUCCUUGAAAUAGGCAGACUUUCAUGGGAUGUUUCUGUCCACAUUAUGGAAUUCAUGCUUUAUUUCCCUUUCUUGGCUCCUCUCUGCUGUAAUCUAAAGUUUGCUAUAUGUUAUCAUUUGGAGGGGUCCUUAACGAUGUCACCAUUUAGAAAUGUCACACAUCCAGCCCUUUGUUUCUGAGCUAGAGCGCACAGACUGUUUAAACAGUAUGCCAAUUAUUCUUGCUAGGAGUACUCAAAGCCAGGAGGAUGAAUUUCUCCCAACAUAUCACUUAGCUUAAUAUCUAGAAUGAAAAGAGCCCCUCACUGCACCAGUAAAAGUUGGUAUUUACACAACAAACAAUCAGAGGACCUCUGUAUUGAAAUCAAGGUUCCUAUAAGCGGUAAUUGAAUAACAUGCAACUUAAUUUUGUGUUUGUUGUUUUUAUGUACACUUAGACGAAUUACAUGUGACACUGAUUCAUAUUUAUACUGAUUGCAAGUCAAUAAAUGAAUUUCACUCUGACUAAAAUUAGGCUGAAUAUUUAACAGAUGGACAUUCUAAUAACAUUGUGGAACAACAUUUAAUUGGAUUACUUUUUUGUUUCCCCUGAGAGCCAGAGUCUCACUAUGUAGCACUGGCUGGCCAGGAAGUGACUGUGUAGAGCAGGCUGCCCUCAAAUUCACAAGGAUCAGCCUGUAAAGGCCUGUGCCUCCAGCCAUGGCUAGUUGGAUUACCUUUUAACUAUCAGUAGAGAUGAGUGUGUAGCUCAGUGGUAGAGUACGCCCCAGGGUUCAAUCCCCAGCAUCAAAGAGAAUCAUAGAAACAGAUAAAGGUAUACUCAGAAGCAGGCAUGGCAACAUUGCAUAUAUUUGUUUCAUUAGUCAAUCAACAAGAAUUUUUUUUAACCCAGAUUAGGCCUAGCGUGAAUUUAAAAAGAGAAAAAUUAGUCUGAAACUUUAUAGUAAAUUAAACAUCAUUUAAAUAGUUUUAAAUAAGUCAUCUUGGCAGGCCUAUAUUAAACCAAGAAUAUUGUACAACUCAGGAAACUACCCAGAUGGGAGGCCUUGGAAAGUUGGUGGGUGUGGUGUUUGCAGUAACUGAGAAACGGUGUAUGAUCUUAAUAAGGGCAGUCCAUAAUCCCACAAAGACAAGAUCAGAAAAGCCUAAGGACCAGGCAUUUAUAAUCUCACCACCAGACCAGGAAAGACACCCAAGGAAAAGCAGAGACCUGUGUUCUUUCUUUUUUCUCUUCCAGUUUGUUUGUUUGUUUGUUUGUUUGUUUGUUUGUUUGUUGUUUUGUUGGUUCUUUGGUUUUAUGAGACAGGGUUUCUCUAUAAUAGUCCUGGCUGUCCUGGACUCACUCUGUAGAUGAACUCACAGACAUCCGACUGCCUCUGCCUCCAGAGUACUGGGAUUAAAGGGUGUGCCACUAUGCCUGGCCACCUCGUUUUCUUUUUCUUUUUCUUUUUCUUUUCUUCUCCCUCCCCCACCCCCACCCCACCCCUGUGUGGUUUUUUUUUUUUUUUUUUUUUUUUUUUUAUUUUGAGACAGGGUUUCUCUGUAUAGCCUGGCUGUCCUGGAACUCACUCUGUAGAACAGGCUGGCUUCGAACUCAGAAAUCUACCUGCCUCUGCCUUCCAAGUGCUGGGAUUAAAGGCAUGAGCCACCACUGCCCAGCCACUUUGUUUUCUUAAUAGCACCUUUGUGAUCAUUUCUAAGACAUUUGGAAAGGAACAUGAAGUUAUGAUGAUUUUAGUAUCCUAGUAAUAUAAUAUUUUAGUAAAAUGAAAAAUAAUCUAAAAGAGAAAAGGCACUUGUUUUUAAGGACAUGCUCUCCCCUUAGCCUGAGAUGUGCAGAAGCUGCCCUAAGCUCAAGUCGUGAGUUCUAGGCGCCAAACUUACAUUCCCUCGUCAAUUUUCCUCCCUAUAAAUAGUCAGUCCUCAGCUCUAGCCCCAGUACCUUCCCUGAGAUGUAGAGUGUCGCUGACCCCUCCCUCUCAAAUGCACACUGCCGAAUUUUAUAAAUAAGAUAGCCAUUAGCCAAGCUUAUGGGGACUUGACAAAUUGAUAACUGCCUCCAAUUUUUUUCAUAUUAAUAUUAGUUUUGUUUUAUUUUGAAACAGACUCUCACUCUGUAACCCUGGCUGGCCUGAGAUUUAUUGGGGAAGACCAAGCUGGCUUCAGACUCACCGUUGAGUUGGCUGCCCUUGCCUCCCAAAUACUGAGAUCGAAGGUGACUGCGCACCACCAUACCACACCCAGCUAACAAUAAUUUUUUUAAGAGAUUUGACUAUCUAAAGUGCCCAUGAGUAAGCUCCUCCCUGAGAAACAGGCAGUGUGGUCAAAGGAGGGCUCCUCACCCUCACGCAUAGGGUAUUGAUGUGCUCAAGUGUGGGCAACAUGUUAUCAGACCCCCACAUUCAGAGAGACUACCUUGGCAUGGGACCAAAAAGAGGGUCUAUCUAGCCUGAGGAGGCAGGGAGAGCUGGUUUAGAGAGACCUCCUCUAGAAACAGUCUUCAUAUUGGGCUCCCCUUAGUGAAGAGGCUCACAAGGACCAGCCCUUUCCAGAACAAGUCUACCUUCACUCCAUAGCUUGGAAGCAGGAAUAUAUAUAUAUAUAUAUAUAUAUAUAUAUAUAUAUAUAUAUUCCUUUUAUUCUCAAUUUCUUUCAUAAAGCUUAUACCUGUAGCACAUGGGAUGGAGAAGAUGAAUCCUACCCGUUUCUGCAUUAGCUUAUGCAAUUAAGGGGGACGAAAUGGGAAGAGAGGACUCCAUGUUAGCAGCUCGAUGGGUGGGGCAAGCUCCUGCCUGUUGUUUGGUGUUCUGUGACUUAAACCAUGGAUGGCAGAAAGCCUUAGAGAAGAACAGACCACAUCUAAACAGACCUUUGCUUCCAUUCCAACACCCUAAAAGUUUCUUCAAUGCUCAAAUACUUCUGGAAUCAGUCUUUGGCCCCAAAGCGUCAAAGUCUAUUGCUUAUAACAGGUUAUCUCAUUAUUUUUCCAAAAGGGGUGGGGGCGCCAUUGCUUAAAAACAGGGCAUAAUUAUGUGCAUGUUAUCUUUCAAGUUGAUAUCACAUACCUGGACCUAAAACUCUAUAAAGAGUUCCCAGGGAAGAGGGGUCUCAGGCCAGAUAAAAUACACAAAUCUGUUCUCCUAAAUCCCCCUUCUAUUGCCUUCCAAGCACACACAUUUAUUUCCAGCCUCUGAAAGAAACGGAGUAUAAUGUAUCGGGAGGAACAGUAAGAUGGCAUUCCAUCUCUGUUCUUGUGCUCCAAAAAGGCCACACCUAAGAUGCUGGAGAGCUGAGGCUCAUGCCUGAGGCACGAGUGCAGCUCUGCACUCCUGUCAUCCAUAAAACAGGAAACAAAACAACAGUGCUUAGAAAUCUUCACUUCUCCCUCUGCUGCACCUUAGUUGGGCUUUGGAAGCAGAAAAGAGAAUCCGUUUGCUGGGAAACAGAGUGAGAACUCCAUCAUUUUUCCUCUGCUGUCUGUGUUCUGCCAGCUGACGGUACCUAGUGCAAAAUUUAACCAUUAAAGGGGGGCAAUCUCCUAGCAACCCCACUGUUGGGCAAAACUAAUCAAGUGUCCACACUACGGCUUCACCCUGCCUCUCCUCUUAUCACCUACUCCCCCAGAACAGGGAAGGGUGGCAACCACUACAUGGUCCUUUGGCACAAACACAACCUGAAUCUUAAGAAGCAGUGAUGUUGACUGAGGGAGUUCCCACCCUCUCUGCGCCCCUCGCUUGCCACAGAGUAAACAAGUCCACACAGGGUUAAGAGAAUCUAAAAUCAAUUCACUUUAAUCGGGUCUAAAAGAAAAACCUGCCUUGCAAUUACAAAAGAAAAAGGAAAAACCCCCGAAACUGCACAUCAGAAAAACACAUCACAUGAAGAACAAACCAAAAUCGGGGCUGGGGACCAUCUUGAACAUCGGGCGCUGCCUUUGACCUCCCGGGAUGGCAUAUAAAACCAUGCUGCCCAGCCCAGAUCCCGAGAGCGAUUUACAAAGGGCUUCCAACAUCCCCCCCCUUCCACAGCAACACUUCCUCCCGGCUUCCCAAACGCUCCGAACAAAGACCUUCUUGAAGCACUUACUGGAGCAGCAGCUUCUCUCAGCGAUUGCCUGUGACCACGCAGCAGGAGGGGCCCGGAGAAGGGCGAGUCGGAGUCCCCAGCUUCCCUGCCUGCUGAUGUGUAUGAGACAGCAGCCCAGGAACCGACUUUCCCAUCACAGCCUCAGACUGUAAUCCAUGUGCUUCCCGCGGGCCAGUCCCAGCUGCCUACAGAGCACCACAUGAUCUGCUCUGACAUCAGAUCAGCCCCGAGACAGCCCAUCCCAUCCGCCAGCCCCUUCCACGCUUGUGAGUUGCAUCACUCUGAGCCCUGGGUUGCAUUGGAGCAGGUGGUGUACAGAGUCAGGAACUGUUGUUUUCUUACAAGAUAUUUUUGGGUGGUCUGGUUCCUUCUGUUUCUAGCAGACAGGGUAAAGCAGCCUACACUUGCAUUUAGAUUUAUUCACAACCUGUAUGUAACAGAAGCACAGCAGUGACUGGAGACCCACUCCUGAGUCAAGAUGCCAAUGCUAUGGGAGUGACCUCAUCUGCAAAAGCCACCGACACUGCCCAAACCACCUUGCAACACAUCAUCCAUCUCGUGCAUGCAUGCGUGUGCCUGUGCGUGAGUGUGUGCGUGUGUGUGUGUGCAUACUUUAAGCAAGUCAUCACAGUAUGGUUCAUGGAAGGCCUCAGGGACAUAACCAUUAGACUUGGUGCAGCAUGAAGUUCUAAUCAUGAGAGAGCUCACCUAUAGUCCAACCAAAAUACACUUACAGACCCACACAGCAAAUGGGCAGGGGGAAAUAGAGAAAGCCUAUUUGCACUGAAUGCAUUUAGCCACCAACCAUUUAUUUAAUCACCCAUAAAUCACCUGACAACAAGGAGCCUAUCAAAAUGGGGGAGGGGGGAAUGCAUAUUUCUAUUUCCAUUCCUGUGAUAAGAAAAGAAAGUAAUGGGGUUUCCAAGGCUCCUCCUCUCCAGUGCCCCCACACUGAAGUCACAGUGUGGCUGCCACACCCACAUUUUAUAUGGUGCUGGGGUUCAGAACUCAGCCAUUCAUCCUUGUGCAGCCAGGGCCUUCCACUGAGCCUCCUCAGUCCCUUCUUAUCUUUGUCCCUUUGAGACAAGGUUUUACCUUGUAGCCCAGGCAAGUCCCCAACUCACAGCAACCUCCAUGCCUCAAUCUUCGUAUUCCUGGGGUUACAAAUACGAGCCACCACAGAUGGCUUUAAAUUGGAACGCUGUUAGGUAAACCAUGUUUUAUUCUAAUUUCAUUAUGGUAUAUUGUAAUGAGUACAAAAUUUAAGGUAAGAAAAUUCAAAGUCACUAAGGGUUUGUUGUUGCUGCUGUUGCUGUUUCAUUUUGUUUGUUUGUUUGUUUGCAAGACAGGGGUCUCUCUGGGUAGCCUUGGCUGUCUUGGCACUCACUCUGUCUAUGAGGCUGGCCUCGAACUCACAGAGAUCUACCUGCCUCUACCUCCCAAGUGUGUCACUACCGCCAGGCCAUCAUUAAAGUUUUCAUGAAGAAAAAUCACAACCCAAACAGACAGUAGUAAUCAAAAGUGGAAGUGCAGAACAGACAGUGGUAAUCAAAAGUGGAAGUGCAGCAGAUACUUCGAAAGCUGCUUUCCUUAAAGACCAUUUGAGGCAUCGGGGCAAAGGCCUAACAUCGCAGCCUCCAUUUUUAUCUCUCUGCUUCCUCUCAUUUAGCUGAAGAUGUGAAGAUUAACUCAUCAUCCUAAAAGCCAUCCUUGAGUUCUUCAGAACAUCUUGCUGGACCAGCACCGCAGUGAUGUGGGGGAACCACACCCUGACCAGGACUGCUUAAGUAAGCGUAGCUCACAGUCUUUAAAAACCUAAUCAGCAUUCUAAAGUUGGAGUUGGGGUUCCUGGACUUUAUAUCUUCCUCUCCCUUCCCCAAUGUGGCCAAAUCAAUCAAAUCUCCCUUUGUCUGCUUUUCACCACUAUUCCAUUGUUCCUCUCUUUAGCCAAAAUACUGGGAUGGGUGGCCAAGCCUCACCUGUCGUGGUUGCUGGAGGCCAGGAAAAACCCUAGCAGAGAAAAUUAUCCUCUUUAUUUUAACUUCCUAUGCAUUCGGGUCCCUAAAGCAGUUCAGGCAUAUAUGUGGAAACAGUGAAAAAGCAUUUGAACACCAUGCACCAUGGUAUCAUUUCUAGUGACUUAAACCCCAUGCCCUCAGAGACACUACACAGUUUUUGAUGCUUUGUGCAUAACAUCAAAGAAAUGGAGCCAGCCUAGAUGUUCAUCAGAGACGAGUAGAUAAUGGAAAUGUCUAAAGUAUACGCACAAUGAAAUGUUACUCAGCUGUGAAGAAAACUAAAAUGUUUCUGAAAGUGAACGGAUCUGAAGUACAAUACUAAGCAAGAAGACCCAGAUUCAGAAAUUCAGGGAAAAAAAAUUCAGUGUGUCCUCUCUCAUAUGCAGAUCUUAGCCUGUAGUGUGUGUGUGUGUGUGUGUGUGUGUGUGUGUGUGUGUGUGUGUGUGUGUAGGGGUGGGGGUGGGAAAGAGUAAGGAAAGGAGACCAAGAGAGGGUAAAGAUGGGUGAUGGAGAUGAAAAGUGAGCAAAAAGACACAUGGAAAUGGGGAAAAGACUGGGCAGUGAGGACCAGAGGGCAGCGGAGACUGAGUGAGACGAGGCAAGAGGAAACUCCAUAAAACACUUUGAUCGAAAAUAGCAUAAUGAUGUCUAAUGUUCCAUAUGCUAAUUUUAAAUUUUUUAAAAAUAACUUUAAAUGAUAAAAGAAUCGUGUGGCCACUAUGGUAGAAUAGGAAGUCCAGACAGCUGCAGUCCAGACCUUGCUUCCUGCACAAGUCCUGCCAUUUCCCAGGUGAUGAAGUGAAUCGAGCAUUCUGUACCUUGUCAUAAGCUCCUUUCUCACAACCCUGAGUUCAUGCUAAUGGGCUGACUGGAAGGAGAGGGACAACCACACGAAGCUGCAGGCUGAGAGCUAGCAACCAAGGAAUCACACGAUUGAGGCUGGAAACCUCUCGUCUCCAGGAAGCAGAGAAGAGCUGAGCCUGGCUUAAUCAUAGAUGACCAGUGUUUUGGUCAGUUGCACUAUCUAAUGAGUCUCCUGGAAACCCUAAGUAGAUGGGCCUGGUGGCGCUUACCCUUAAUCCCAGCAAUGGAAGGCUGAAGCAGAAGGGUUGCCUCAAUUUGAAGCCACCAUAGGCCAAAUAGUAAACUCAAAGGAGGCCUGGGCUACAGAGACCCUUUCACAAAAAAAAAAAAAAAAAACAACAACAACAACAACAAAUAACUGUAAACUGCAUGGCAGGGGCUUCUGAGCUGGCAAAAAAUUUUCAAAUUCCACAGAGUUCACAAGGAUGGAAGCCCUUCACUAAAGACCCUUCCUAACCUCAAAUUACAUCAAGGUUUUUAUUUAUGACCUUACUAACAGAGUGUGUGUGUGUGUGUGUGUGUGUGUGUGUGUGUGUGUGUGUGUGGUGUGUGUGGUGUGUGUGUGGUGUGGUAUGUGCAUGCACCAGAAUACUUUCUACAGCAUGUGUGUGUGGGUCCAAGAGCAACUUGCAGGAGCUAGCUCUCUCCUUCUGUCAUGUGGGUUCCAGGGAUCAAACUCAGGUUGUCGGGCUUAGGGCAGGCACCUUCCCCCACUGAGCCAUCUCUCGGAGCCAGCUCUGCUCUGUUUCAUAUUUUGAGACAGAGUCUAUCACAAAACUUGCCAGGUCAGUUAAACUCACUGAACAGCAAGACCCAAAGAUCCUCCUAUCUCUGCUUCCCCAGGUUUGGGGCUUACAGGUAUGUCCCCAAACCUGGCUUUCUCAGGGCCUCAUGUUUUACAGGCAAGCACUUGACCAACUGAGCCAGCACCCCAGUUCCCCCAAUACUCUUUAUAACAAGCCAGUAAUGGGGACUAAAGUAUUUCCUUGGGUUCUGAGAGCUGCUGCAACAAAUUAGCAAAUGAAGGGGAUUCCAGUUUACAGCCAAACUGCACAGAAGUAGGGGUAGUCUGGAGACCUAUUAUGCUUGUAACUGGCAUAUGGAAUUGAGGGCGACUUUGAAGGCCUGAGCUCUUAACCUCUGGUGCCUGCAUUAACUGUGCGUAGUGAGUGUUAGAGCUGAAUUAAAAUUUCAGACACCCAGUGGGAACCUGCCGAGAGAUGGAGGAGUUCUUGGUAUGAAAAACCCAGAGGUGCUGUGUGGACAGAAAUCAAUCACAGCUGUAGGAGGUUCACACAGUCUCUUCUUUAUUCGGCUAAUCUCCAGUAGCAAUAAGAUGGAAAUUAGGUGUCCCAAGGAACCUCAUGGUGAAUCACAGUCAAAGGCAUGUUGUUAUCUUCUUGGGAGAAAAUACUACAUGCUUGGUACCAUCCAAAUCAAUGACUUAAGGAUUACAUAUAUAUAAUAUGUAUAGCAUUAUAUACAUAUAACAUUAUAUAUAAUAUAUAAGUAUCACAUAUAUAUAUAAUUGUAUAUAUAAACAAGUUUAUAUACUUACAUUUAUAUACAUGAUAAGAAAUCAACUAUUAUGCUGAUAAUUACAUUUAGAUUUUUAUUUCCAUUGUAUAAAUUAUGUAAAUAAGUGUUAUUUAAAUAUGUAUAUCAUAACUUCACUCUUUUGUGGUUCUGAGGACUAAAGGGACCUCAUGUAUGCUAGACAAAAACUCAGUCCCUGGGCUAGAGAGAUGGCUCAGUGGUUAAGAGCACUGACUACUCUUCCAGAGGUCCUGAGUUCAAUUCCCAGCAACCACACAAUGGCUCACAACCAUCUGUAAUGGGAUUCGACGCCCUCUCCAGGUGUGCCUGAAGAAAGGUACAGUGUACUCAUAUAAAUAAAUUAAAUAAAUCUCAAAAAAAAA